GAAAUGCGAUAAGUAAUGUGAAUUGCAGAAUUCAGUGAAUCAUCGAAUCUUUGAACGCACAUUGCGCCCGCCAGUAUUCUGGCGGGCAUGCCUGUUCGAGCGUCAUUACAACCCUCAGGCCCCCGGGCCUGGGGUUGGGGAUCGGCGGAAGCCCCCUGCGGGCACAACGCCGUCCCCCAAAUACAGUGGCGGUCCCGCCGCAGCUUCCAUUGCGUAGUAGCUAACACCUCGCAACUGGAGAGCGGCGCGGCCACGCCGUAAAACACCCAACUUCUGAAUGUUGACCUCGAAUCAGGUAGGAAUACCCGCUGAACUUAAGC
rnacentral:misc_RNA from 1 species